UACAGAGGGGGCAAGCGUUGUUCGGAAUUACUGGGCGUAAAGGGCGCGUAGGCGGCCUUCUAAGUCGAACGUGAAAUCCCCAGGCUCAACCUGGGAACUGCGUCUGAUACUGGAUGGCUUGAAUUCGGGAGAGGGAUGCAGAAUUCCAGGUGUAGCGGUGAAAUGCGUAGAUAUCUGGAGGAAUACCGGUGGCGAAGGCGCAUCCUGGACCGACAUUGACGCUGAGGAGCGAAAGCUAGGGGAGAACAG
rnacentral:rRNA from 1 species